UAUGGAUUACAGGCUCCCAGCUUGAUCAGAGUCUGAGUUCUUCUCAUUGUUUUUAACCUAAGCAAAAAAUCAUGCAAUUGGAGUUCAGAUGUGCAAUUAAGGCAUUGGUUUUUCUACUGGUUCCAAUUAAGUUGCCAGCAUUCUCAGGCAGAGAAAGGGGUAGCAAGGGACUGAUAUUAGAGAUGUUGCUGAGGUCCAAAUAUGGAUAAGCACUUUUAAUAUAUACUCUUAUAAAACUGCAGGUUAUUACAACAAUCCUGCCAAUGUUCUUAUCUGUUUACAGUUUGGUUGUAAAUAUUCAAUGAACCAUUUCCAUUCUUUUAUUUUUUUUAAUUAAAGUUUGUUAUCUUGAUUCCUUAUUCUUCCAGUAAGUUUUGCCAUUUCUGCAUAUUCCGUAAGUUUUUGUAGCCAUUCUUCUUUUGCUGGCAUUUCUUAUUCUUUCCAUUUUGGGGCAAGUAACAUUCUUGCCGCUGUAGUCGCAUACAUGAAUAAAUUUCUGUACAGAUUUAGUAGUUCUGUUCCUAUAAUUGACAAAAGGAAAGCUACUGGGGUUUUUCCCCCACCACCGUACCACAGGAGUGAAGUCAGACAGAAAUCUGAGAUCCAGACAUGCCCUUCUCAAUCAUCCAUAUCCUUUUGUCAUGAAAAUACGACUUAGCACCUUUAUUUGUUCAGGCCAGGUUGCAUUCCAUUCUGGAGAUGAGUUUUUCACGUGGGGUUUUGCGAUUCCGAUAACACCUUCCUCACCCUACCUGCCCUCCUUAUCUUGACUGGUAAUAUCUGGUCUGACAUCUGGGAGGUGUAUCUGGUGUAUGUGGUGGCACAUAAUAAUAAUAAUAAUAAUAAUAAUAAUAAUAAUAAUAAUAACCCUUUAUUGUCACUACACCACCUGUGUGCAGUGAAAUUAAACAAGCCCCCCUCCCCACAUACACUCAGUCUUGUUCGAACUGUUUGUGCUUGUCAGAAGUCUGUUACACCACAUCUGAAGGAUAAUGGCGGACUGAAGACUGGCCGCAUCGUGGUUCCUGUCCCCUCCCCUCCCCCUCCCUGAGAAGAGUAAAGAACCAUUGAAAUGAGGAAGAUAAGUGAAACGGCUGAUUUUUAGUGAUUAUCUGAAGUUUCCCCAUAGGAUAGCAUUGUGGGUGAUAUUGCUAAUUGAAGAUUUCCCUUUAAGGCACUAGCUGAACCUCCCGGGGAAAGCAUUCUACAAAUGGGGAGCCACUGCCUUCCGAUCUCUUCUAAAAGUCAGAUAGUUAUUUAUUUCCUUGACUUCUGAUGGUGUGAGGAAAACACUUCCAAAAUCUGAGGUAAAAAUGGGUAUCUGAGGCCUGAAUAUCAAGCUGUUCUUCCCGAUUAUGUUAAUACUGUAAUGGUUUGCUGGUGAAUAUCAGAAGAAGGGAGCUGGUGUCUGUGUUAGGCCAAGAUGCAGCCCAGAUAAAGAUUUUGACAGAAAAAAGUGGAAGAAGUGUGUCACUUCUGCUCAUCCUGUAUAUUUGUAAAUAAAUGCAACUAUUACAAAAACGCUGUAAGCCUGAAGGCACCUUCUUCCAAAGGAAGCUGAAAUUAGGAAGCCCUGAACCUUUGGAUCUUCUCAGUGCUUGGGGAAUACAGUGCAAAAAGAGAAAUAUCUCACAGAUUCCAAGAACCACAGGUUAUUUUUUUGGCAGUAUGCUUAAAUUGCAAAGGACUCUUCCUUUUUCCUGGCAUCUCUGAGGUAUAUUUUUGCACAUUAUUCUUGGAUGCUUCCUGGUUUUGUGGUUUUGGGAGGAAUAGGACAAUUGCAACAAUAUAUUCUGUUCUGAAAGCAAAUAGCUUCAAAAUCUUUCUGUCCUUAAAAAUGCUGAUAGAAAUCCCAUUGCCACAUAUUUUUGUCUAAAGAAAGCAGGGACUCCCUAAUGUUUGCAUAGGAGGAAUUUGGGCAGGUGUGUUUACUUACAUCCCUGCAUGAUAAUAUGUUUCUCCCAAAUUCCCUCCUCUUCACAGUGAGUAAAUAUACAAGUGUCCUGGUCUCUUUUGCAGCUUGCCUUCAUUAUCUUAUCAUAUCCAUCUUCUUCUCCCCAUUCCUUGGCCUCCAUAAUUUGGAUUUGUGCCUUAACAUUAUGUCCAUUCAUUUUAAUGACUUUAUUUGUUUUGUGGGGGCAGCUUUGCAGCUGGAACCUGAAAAGGAAAAAAUUGUGCUGAACAAUGGUGGAUGCAGUGCCUCAACAGACAAGUUUCAGGCUUUCCUAAGACUCAACUUCUGCAAUCAAAAUCAGAAUAGGUCCUCAG